rnacentral:rRNA from 1 species
GUGGGGAAUAUUGGACAAUGGGCGAAAGCCUGAUCCAGCCAUGCCGCGUGUGUGAAGAAGGUCUUCGGAUUGUAAAGCACUUUAAGUUGGGAGGAAGGGCAGUAAGUUAAUACCUUGCUGUUUUGACGUUACCAACAGAAUAAGCACCGGCUAACUUCGUGCCAGCAGCAGCGGUAAUACGAAGGGUGCAAGCGUUAAUCGGAAUUACUGGGCGUAAAGCGCGCGUAGGUGGUUUUGUAAGUUGGAGGUGAAAUCCCCGGGCUCAACCUGGGAACUGCCUCCAAAACUGCAUGACUAGAGUACGGUAGAGGGUAGUGGAAUUUCCUGUGUAGCGGUGAAAUGCGUAGAUAUAGGAAGGAACACCAGUGGCGAAGGCGACUACCUGGACUGAUACUGACACUGAGGUGCGAAAGCGUGGGGAGCAAACAGGAUUAGAUACCCGGGUAGUCC